AGUGAACGCUGGCGGUAGGCCUAACACAUGCAAGUCGAACGGCAGCACAGUAAGAGCUUGCUCUUACGGGUGGCGAGUGGCGGACGGGUGCGGAAUACAUCGGAAUCUACUUUUUCGUGGGGGAUAACGUAGGGAAACUUACGCUAAUACCGCAUACGACCUACGGGUGAAAGCAGGGGAUCUUCGGACCUUGCGCGAUUGAAUGAGCCGAUGUCGGAUUAGCUAGUUGGCGGGGUAAAGGCCCACCAAGGCGACGAUCCGUAGCUGGUAUGAGAGGAUGAUCAGCCACACUGGAAGUGAGACACGGUCCAGACUCCUACGGGAGGCAGCAGUGGGGAAUACUGGACAAUGGGCGAAAGCCUGAUCCAGCCAUACCGCGUGGGUGAAGAAGGCCUUCGGGUUGUAAAGCCCUUUUGUUGGGAAAGAAAAGCAGCAGGUUAAUACCCCGCUGUUAUGACGGUACCCAAAGAAUAAGCACCGGCUAACUUCGUG
rnacentral:rRNA from 1 species